rnacentral:lncRNA from 10 species
UUUCAAGAGACAACGAAGGUGGACAGGGUGUUCUAGAAAGUGGGGACCAUGUUUAGCAAAGGCAUAGGGUGCAAGAAGAAAUGAGGAGCAUUGAGUGGGCUCCAUGCAGUCUCCUUUGCUGAAGAACAAGGUGCGUGAGCAGGCAUGGGUGAAGCAGGAGGUUGGCCACAGAUUAGAAAGGGUCAGGCCCAGCAGUGGGAGAAGUCUUUGAACUUUUUUAAGCUGGAGAGUGGACUGACUAACUCCCAAAGGGGAGGAAGACAGCGACUGAAGGCAGGAAGAUGGUGAGGAGACUUUGGCGGUUCUCCAGGAAAGAGCCAGACAAUAAGAAAAAAUAGGAAGAAAGGAGGUUGAAUGAAAGAAAUCUGAGCCUUUCAGAAUGUGCACCACCUGGGCAGAGAAGAAGAAACAGAGGUGACAAGUGGGAAGACCUCCGGGCCUGAAAUUCCCUGUCAUGCUGCAGCUCCGGACCUGCCCCUACCUGAGUGGGGAGCAGAGGGGUGGACUGACACCUCAGACCCCUGGGCAGCUCUUGGCAAACUCACAUGCUUGUCUUCAGCAAUCCUGGCUUCAUUUGGGGCUCUUUUCAAACCCAGGGCCUUCCCUGGGGAACCCAGGCCCCUAGCAUCCUACCCACCUUCAGUAGUUGCCACACACACACACACACACACACACACACAUUCUCUCUUUCUGUCUCUUCUCAGACAUGUGUCUCAUUCCCUUAGGCCUUCUUUUCUCAGCUUUUCAGGUGAUAGGGAGCUAAUCCUACCAACAAAUUCAAACCAACUUGAGAGCUAAUGGCUGAAACUGUUAAUGAUCGCUAACAAAAUGAGUCCUAGGGGCGGGGUGGGGUGUGUGUGUGUGUAUUUUGCAUUUCUGUGCAGAAGUGUUGCAGGAACUCAGGGACCCCGAAUGGAAUGACUGGCUGGAGCCGUGGCAGAGGAACAUAAAUUGUGAAGAUUUCAUGGACAUUUAUCAGUUCCCAAAUAAUGCUUUUAUAAUUUCUUAUGCCUGUCUUUACUUUAAUCUCUUAAUCCUGUUACUUUCAUAGGCUGAGUAUGUACGUCACCUCAGGACCACUGUGAUAAUUGUGUUAAUUGUACAAAUUGAUUGUAAAACAUGUGUGUUUGAACAAUAUGAAAUCAGUGCACCUUGAAAAUGAACAGAAUAACAG